ensembl:snRNA U6 U6 spliceosomal RNA
GUGCUCGCUUUAAUAGCACAUACACUAAAAUUGGAACAAUGCAGGGAAGAUUAACAUGGCCCUGCACAAGGAUAACAUAUUAAUUCGUGAAGUGUUCCAUAUUUUU